UGCGAUUACGAUAGCUGGAAAGCAAUAUGAUGCAGUUGGAAUGUUAUUUAAUAGAAGUAGCUGGCAAGAGAUAAGAUAGAUGUAAAAGUCAUGAUAGAAGGGAAUGUAAUGAGUGUUUUCCACUUACAUAUAUGCGAUAGAAAUAAAUCAAUUCAUGUAUCACAUAGUGAUAAACUAGUUGAAAUUAUUUUGUAAACAGGUUAGCUUAUUGUGAAAUUCAC
rnacentral:lncRNA from 1 species